UUUAUAUGAGAGUUUGAUCCUGGCUCAGGAUGAACGCUGGCGGCGUGCCUAAUACAUGCAAGUCGAACGAGUUCUCGUUGAUGAUCGGUGCUUGCACCGAGAUUCAACAUGGAACGAGUGGCGGACGGGUGAGUAACACGUGGGUAACCUGCCCUUAAGUGGGGGAUAACAUUUGGAAACAGAUGCUAAUACCGCAUAGAUCCAAGAACCGCAUGGUUCUUGGCUGAAAGAUGGCGUAAGCUAUCGCUUUUGGAUGGACCCGCGGCGUAUUAGCUAGUUGGUG
rnacentral:rRNA from 1 species